AGGGAUUCGGGUUCAUAAAGAUGAUGGCAACAUGUACUUACAGAAACCAAGAUCACAGAGCCGAGGAGAAAACACUAUUGAAGUGUUUGCAUGCGCCGAUGACGAUUGCUGCGACGCGAGAGAGUUCAAAUGCCGUCAACAUUAGUUUACUCAAGGCCAAAUC